CGGGUGCACUGAUCCAGCCGGGCCUUUCCCUCUGUGGAACCCCAUGGCCUUCACUGGCUGUGGUGGGGAAACAGGACUUUUACUUUGAAAAAAUUAGAGUGCUCCAGGCAGGCCUAUGCUCGAAUACAUUAGCAUGGAAUAAUAGAAUAGGACGUGUGGUUCUAUUUUGUUGGUUUCUAGGACCGCCGUAAUGAUUAAUAGGGACAGUCGGGGGCAUCAGUAUUCAAUUGUCAGAGGCGAAAUUCUUGGAUCUAUUGAAGACUAACUACUGCGAAAGCAUUUGCCAAGGAUGUUUUCAUUGAUAAGGAACGAAAGUUAGGGGAUCGAAGACGAUCAGAUACCGUCGUAGUCUUAACUAUAAACUAUGCCGACUAGGGAUCGGACGAUGUUAUUCUUUGACGCGUUCGGCACCUUUCGAGAAAUCAAAGUGCUUGGGCUCCAGGGGGAGUAUGGUCGCAAGGCUGAAACUUAAAGAAAUUGACGGAAGGGCACCACCAGGGGUGGAACCUGCGGCUUAAUUUGACUCAACACGGGGAAACUCACCAGGUCCAGACACAGUGAGGAUUGACAGAUUGAGAGCUCUUUCUUGAUUCUGUGGGUGGUGGUGCAUGGCCGUUCUUAGUUGGUGGAGUGAUUUGUCUGCUUAAUUGCGAUAACGAACGAGACCUUAACCUGCUAAAUAGCCCGUACUGCUUUGGCAGUUCGCCGGCUUCUUAGAGGGACUAUCGG
rnacentral:rRNA from 1 species